UCCUUAGCUCAGUUGGUUUAGAGCAUCUGCCUUACAAGCAGAGGGUCGAAGGUUCGAAUCCUUCAGGGUCC
rnacentral:tRNA from 2 species